rnacentral:rRNA from 1 species
ACCCCAGACUCCUACGGGAGGCAGCAGUGGAGAAUAUUGCACAAUGGGGGAAACGCUGAUGCAGCGACGCCGCGUGAGCGAAGAAGUAUUUCGGUAUGUAAAGCCCUAUCAGCAGGGAAGAAAAUGACGGUACCUGACUAAGAAGCUCCGGCUAAAUACGUGCCAGCAGCCGCGGUAAUACGUAGGGGGCAAGCGUUAUCCGGAUUUACUGGGUGUAAAGGGAGCGUAGACGGCGAUGCAAGCCAGAUGUGAAAGCCCGGGGCUCAACCCCGGGACUGCUUUGGAAACUGUGUUGCUGGAGUGCUGGAGAGGCAAGCGGAAUUCCUAGUGUAGCGGUGAAAUGCGUAGAUAUUAGGAAGAACACCAGUGGCGAAGGCGGCUUGCUGGACAGUAACUGACGUUGAGGCUCGAAAGCGUGGGGAGCAAACAGGAUUAGAUACCCCUGUA